GACGUAGGGUGCGAGCGUUGUCCGGAUUUAUUGGGCGUAAAGAGCUCGUAGGCGGCCUGUCGCGUCUGCUGUGAAAUCCCGGGGCUUAACCCCGGGCGUGCAGUGGAUACGGGCCGGCUGGAGGCAGGCAGGGGAGAAUGGAAUUCCCGGUGUAGCGGUGAAAUGCGCAGAUAUCGGGAGGAACACCGGUGGCGAAGGCGGUUCUCUGGGCCUGUACUGACGCUGAGGAGCGAAAGCGUGGGGAGCGAACAGG
rnacentral:rRNA from 1 species